rnacentral:lncRNA from 1 species
UUAAAGCAAGCAGAAUUUUAGAUUUUUUGAUUCUUCACUAUGGGCUUUUGGUUUGCCUAUAUUUCCUACACAAUCAAGGUAGUGAAGUUAUACAAUAACAACGUCAGUUAUUUAAGAGUGUAUACAUACGCGACAUAUCAGACAGUAGCGAAAUAAAUUCGAAAUAAAUAAGGGGAAAGAAACUGGACUCUUGGCGAUCUGGGCCUGUUAGGCUUAAUCAGGCUCAAUAUUAUGUGCGCGAAUAGCAACGUGACAGGAAUGCGACAACCCGGAUUUGGCAGUGGACUUGAGUUCCAAACGGUCUCAACGGGCGCAGAUUGAACGCAUGUAUACAAAUAAAAGAGAAUAUUAAUACAUAUCAAUUGUACAAAACUAAGCAAGAUAAAAUUAUAAAUGGUAAUAAAGAGUUGUGGAUUAUAGUGAGGUAGAUUCUAUUUAUGCUAAUCCUAUUAGGAUUAAUAGGAGUUAGUGGUUAAGGGCUUGGUAUAGAUCCUUAUUUGUGGAUGUGACCCCCCUUUGAAUCCUUGGCACUUCAGAGUUCACGAGGGUAUCACGGACCCCGAGCAGUGCUUGUUUCAAGGAGAGGGAUCAUAACUACAACAAGUUUCACAGCAAAAUACCACUAACCACCUACUUCUAGUCUUCCUCAAAGGCUUAAAUAUAAAUAAAAGGAUCAGCAUAAUGAAUUAAUACUACUAAAACACAACAACAGGUACAGGAGCCAUGGGAAACAUUUGAAAGUUCAACACACACACAAAGAUUGGUAACAAUGAACAAACAAGGCACUACAGUUCAUCAUCGAGGCAUAAUAGCAACUAAGGACAUAGUAUUGACUGGGAGGACCAGAACAUGAGAGACGCAAGUGGGCAUGAUUCAUAGUCAAAUAGGGAAACCAAGUUCAAACAGUAAAUAUAUUCAUUUCAUAGGGAAUUUUAGAUUUAAGGUGUUAACAUGCUAAUACUUAAUAGAGAAAAGCUCAAGUACAGAUUCUGUAGAUUCCACUGUAGGUUUAAUAUUUCAGAAUCCUUCUAAGUUCAGAUCAUAAGGACUAUUCUCAGGUAUUUCUAAAGCCUUGGCAUAGUUAACAAUAGGCAUUCAUUACUUAUAACAGUUAUACUAAUGAUGUUUAUUUAGAACUUUCUGAGAGGGCAUGCCAAUUGAUCAGGGUAUCAAAGUCUUUCAACAUGAAAGGAUCAAUCUUACCCAAUCACUAAUGGAUUGAUCAUGCAACAUAUAGGUCAUCAAGAUUUCUGAUUGUCAAACCUUAACAAAUUUCAGAUUGAGUCCCUUCAGGAGAUGAUAUGAUUAGGUAUAAGGCAAUGGGUGAUAACAUUUAUCUUAAUAAGGAAAACAAGUCAUGAUGGUCUGACAUUUGAACAUAUAGGCAAGUUUAUCAGCAUAACAUAUCAACAGGGUUUAAUACCUAAUUUAUAUAUAAGUUAACAUGCCAAACAUGUAAGAAUCGGGACAGAACCAAGUUAUAGUAGAACCUAACAUUAGAGUCAUAUAGAAUAGAUCAUCACAAGAAAAUAGGAACAAAACCCUUAAAGGGAAAAUAACUACAAACAACCAAAUACACCACAACGGUAAAGUCAAAACCAAGGCAAGUAAAAGAGUCAACACAUGGGUGAACAUACAGUCUUUCAAACCAAGAUUAUAGGAUCGUUUAUGAACAUAGCAGGGAUUAACAUGGCAGAUGUAAACUCAGGGACAAAAGAUCCUUAAUAUAGUAGCAGAAAUCUCACAGAAAACUCAAGUAGUCAUGGGAGUGCAAGGGUCAUGUUCAUUACAGGAAUCAAUAGAGAACAAUUUUUCUUACAUACUUGGCAAGGGUCAUUACAUGGUUUCUUCUAUAAUUACAACCUUACAAGAUAGAGCAGACAUGAUUUCAACCACAAAACUGUCAACUAAGGUCUUCAAAGCUGACAGAUCAAAUGCAAGACAUGAGCUGUAAUAAGGAUCAUUUUUGCUUUGAACUAAAACAAUGUGGCAUAACAUCACACACAUAAGGAUUAGUAUAGCACAGUGCAACAAAUGUGAAGUCUUAACAGGAUAUCAGGAGAAGAUUAAGAGUAUAACUAGAUUGAUUUAACUAACAUGGUAGUAUAAUUAUUAUUUAAUAAUAGGGAUGGAACACACACAGGAUCAACAUAAGGUUUUAGCUCAGCUGAUGAUAAAAGGUUCAUCAGGAUUUAUCCACAAGAGUAUGAACAUCAUAGAAAAUAUCUUAUCUAUCUAAGUUAUGGGAGAUGAAACUCAUUAACAAUAUAGAUUGGCUAGCAGUACCAAAAUAACAUAACUUAUCAGGAAAUAAUUAGCCCAACAUUGAAAAUGGCAUACAACAAACAGAACAUGACAAGUACAGUCAUAUACCACUGAUGUAUAUCAUAAGCGAAAGGUGAUUAUCAGAAAAACAACAUCACCAGAUUGCACAAUUAAGAGGUAGAGACAAGGUCAGUAUACACUAACCUUCUGUAAAGCAGCAAACCAAGUAAGAGUUUAUUGCUAGCCAUUUAGGAAUCCAAACCAACAACGAUCCACUCACAGAGAUUGAACUCGAGCAGAAAUGAAAAAAGGAAAAGAGAAAUUAGGGGGAACUACUAGAACUUAAACUUAGUAAGAAAAAAAUUGAGCUUUUAAUUCUUUUAGUGUAUUUUCCGGUGAUGUUAAGUGUGUAUUGACGUCUGUUAGGUAAAAAUAUUUAAGGCCCUAUUUAUAGUGGCCUUUAAGCCUUAGGGUUCCAGCUAAAUUCAAAUUGAUAGUGGGGAGUGACAAUAGGUGGAUGAUGAUAGCAAGCAGGUGAAACUCAGAAGGAAAACAGGGAAAAAUAGUGUAGAAUUUACCUAGGAACGAGGAGGUUGACCGUUGAAGCCAUUGGACCAUCAGUCAAAUCCUAAUGUCUAGAGGUCACUUUAUUUUACCUCUGGACAUCGAAUAAUGAUGACGAAGUUGAAGAUAAUGUUUAUGAAUGCUUCGAUUCAAUGGAACAAAGGCAGGACAGAUGAAAUCCCAGGUUUCACCUUUAGGUCUAGGGCUUCUGGGUUAGCGAUUUGAAUUAAGGUCACGAAAGGGGAAAGUUUUUCAGGCGGGAUUCGAGGUUAGCAGGGACAGAAAGGAUGAUUUGAGGUCGGAUUUGUGACCUUGCAAAAAUUUGUGCAAGGUUUUAGACUGAUGGAGCUGAUGGGGAUGAGAGAAAAGAGAGAGAAUUGGGAAAUGAGGGCAUCCAGGUAGUUGAAAGUGAUUAGGGUUUAGGGAGUCAUCUCUAGGUUAAAAGUGGAACACGGUAUCUGGUCUGUUGGAUCGUUUGAUG